rnacentral:rRNA from 1 species
GACGUAGGGCGCGAGCGUUGUCCGGAUUUAUUGGGCGUAAAGAGCUCGUAGGCGGUUUGUCGCGUCUGCCGUGAAAGUCCGGGGCUCAACUCCGGAUCUGCGGUGGGUACGGGCAGACUAGAGUGAUGUAGGGGGAGACUGGAAUUCCUGGUGUAGCGGUGAAAUGCGCAGAUAUCGAGAGGAACACCGGUGGCGAAGGCGGCCUUCUGGACAGUGACUGACGCUGAGACGCGAAAGCGUGGGGAGCAAACAGG